AUGGCUUCCAUUGAGACGGGAGUGGCCACUAGAACCGGCGGUGUUCCUUGUUUUGUGCCGGCUCUGCGUAAUGUAUGCCUUCCCAAGGACUUCAAGGGACCUCGAAAGGUGCCGAAUUACACGGCCGACUUACAUCCUGGAGCGUGGAUCGAGAGCUAUGAGAUGGCCAUGGAGCUAUUGGAGGUCAGCGAUGCAGCAAUGGCUAAGUACUUCACCAUGAUGUUAGAUGGAACAGCCCGGUCCUGGUUAAAGGGCUUGCCCCCCAAUUCCAUUGAUUCAUGGGCAGAGCUAAAAGCCCGUUUCAUCUAG
rnacentral:rRNA from 1 species